CACUGACAUCAAACUCAAGGCAAAGACAUGUGAGUUUGAUUUGCUUAAAGAUUCCCUAAUAAAGGAUAGGAUAGUUGGUGGCAUAAGGAAUGAGAACACCCGAGCAAGACUUUUGAGAGAACCAGAUCUAGACCUUAACAAGGCAGAAAAUAUAUGUCGGGCAGCUGAGGCAACUGAAUGGCAGCUUAAGCUCAUGAAUGAAGAAAGUGGGGUACAAGUUGUGAAUUCAGCUACCAAUAGCUUUAAAAGAACAAAAGGAAAUGUGAGUUGUAGCUAUUGUGGCAAGGAACACAGACCACGUCAGUGCCCAGCUUAUGGGGAUACCUGUCACAAAUGUCAUAAAAAAGGCCUGACGCUUUGUUCCUGGAUACACUUGCUCAUUUCCCAUUGGUCUAUUACAUGACUGGAAGUAUUUGGAGUGUGGAUGAUCUCCUAGUGGCUAGAAUCACUCAAGACAGUUACCUAGUGGUUGUCAAAAGAAAUCCUGAUUCUAAUUACGAAGGGGAAGAGUUUCUAGAGGAUUCCUCCACCAUUCAGAAAAUUGUUAGGCUGUUCCCAAGUGUGACUGUAUUGACGGAGUUGACUCAGGUGUCUUACAUAAAGUUCAUGGACAUCUCAGGGCUGACUUUGGCUUCUAAAAAUCUGAGGCACAAAUCCACAUCUGGGUCACAUUUGGGUGAAAUUUUCUGCUUACCAUUUGCUGCAGGUCAUUUCUUUUCAUCCAGCAUGUUGGACAACUCUGUUAUAUCAGACAUUCACCAAGAGUUAACUCAUUUCUUUUAUUUGACUUUUGCUGGGCAUUAAUGGAGAACAAGGUUCUGGACAUUUGUCAAGUUGAAGAAAGCUACUGUCAGGAAGUACCAGAUGUAUGGUCACCUGUACGAAGACUUUUGUUGACAGGUAGGCAAGUACCAUUUGCUAUCUACAGAACCCAGUCAGUGGACAACCUUAAGGUACAUGCUUCAAGUUCUUCUGGACAUAAAGCUGACCACAACACUUAAACACUGGUCUGAAGGCUACUCCAUGAUGGGCAGCCUAUGUCAUCACCAAGCCAGCAUCUAACUGUUAACUCCUUGUUGGGGACAUUGUCUCUGUCCUUCAACCAGCAUCAAUGUGUGUGACUCCCAAGUGGUCUCUCCAGUGUGUACAAGCAUUGGAGCAGAAAACAAGGUGACAAGAUGGAGAAGGGUCAGUCCACUCCUAAAAGAAGCACACUAUAAUGAAUACACAGGUGUUUGUGUACAACUUGUUGAAUUUUUCACUCACAUCUACUUUAGUCUCUUGAUGGGUAGCAAAGACAUAAGCCUUUAACUGACUGAGCCAAGGCUUAGGCCCUGAAUAGUUACAUGUAGUCUGGGCGUCAUCAUCAAGUUCAAGGUUAAAAUAUGGACAGCUUUCAGUAAACUCUCACCAGAGGUCAUUUCUGGCUGGAGAGAUUUUUUAUAGAGUAAAAGUGAAGACUGUGUGUGGAAGUUUGCCAGAGGCAAGCUUUGGAUUUCUUUCAUAGAGCAAGGGACAACACUCUCAAUACCUUUUGAUAUCUUUCCAACACCUAUAGCUGUGGUGAGACUAUUUCGAGGUCUUAGGAAUGUAUUUCUUAUCAAUCGGUAAUCAUGCAUCACAUGCCCUCAGAUAUGUACACAAAAUGAAGUUUGAGGAGAAAGAGAAAGGAUCAAGAUGAUUUACAAGACACUAAAGUUAUCUAUCAACUAUACUCAAUGUAUGAAUGACUUGCAGCCAGACUAGAAUUAUAGAGAAAGAUGUUUUUCUGCUGGCUAAACAUGUAUGGAUUGUUUUGAGUUUUGCAAGUGCUGCUGUUGUCUAGGCAAUUCUGGCCAGUAGUUCCGGUUUUGGUUUCUUCAUCUGAGACAAAAACUCCAAGGGUCUGUUCCAUCACAUCCAGUCAAUAAAGGAAUAAUAUCUAUGAUGUCAGACAACAAUAAAGAUCCAUUUCUGUAGAAGAAGAUCUCAUUACCAUGAACACUCUAGGGCUAGGGAGACAUGAACUACAUGAAGACAAUUUUGGGAUGGAGGAAACCACACAGAGACUUCAAUGGGGAACAAAAGUCAAAUGGAGUGUGUUCAAAGUUAGCAUUCAAUUCUUGUCACUCAAUUCUCCAUGAUAUGUUUACAGGGAGACUAAACAUUUUUGGACAUGAUGCCAGUAAAAUGAGAAAAUAGAGUGGAAGAGAGUCCAAAGUUUGUUUUGCUCCCUAUUCAAUAGAGAACAAAGUUAAGAUUAGCGAUGGAGAUAAAAGGAAUCUCUAAAACAAUAAUUCUUAUCAAAAUCUAACAAUCUCUAUUCAAAAUAUUAAUCUAAGAAGUAACAUGACAACUAUUUGAACCAAAGAGUGAAGGUCACGUGAGGACAGUUUUCAACAUUAGAGUUACAGUACUAGUCCUCGGUGGAAUCAAGGAGUCAUUAAAGAAUCAUUCUGGAAGAUCAAAUCAAUACAAGCACUGAACAGCAGAUAAUGAUGCAGAGAAUUUCCUGGUGAUCAAGAAUUAGGAGCUGCACACAGUUUAAUGAAACCAUAUUUUAGGAACAGAUAGAAAACAAAGAACUGCAGCAAAGAUGGCCUGUUUUUAUUCUUCUUCAUG